CUUUUCCAUUGAGCCGAUGUAAUCUAUUACAUACUUUGUCACACUUCCAAUGGACACUACCCAUUUCCAGUAAAUUAACUCAGGGUUACAAGUUUUGCUCAAGGGCACAUUGACAGUGGGCCUCGUUGUUGGUUCAUCGAGGCAAAUGGUUCACUUUCCCCGCCCCAAGAGGUGACUGCUGGCUGAAUAAUGUAUUUUUGUCCCUGCGCCAGCCUCCUAGAAACAGCCUAAGUUACAGCACACAACAAAAGCCCACAUUUCACCUGCGUGCCUUACUGCUGGGACACCUGUAGCCACGACACCCAUCGCUUAACGCGUUUUUUUUUUUUUGGAGGAAGAACGCAUGAUGCGCUAUUACGCACGGGACUAAAGGAAUUCGACGAGCAGCCUGUCUUUUUUGUCACUCCUCCAGGGGAUACGCUGUCCAUAGUUUUGGAGUCCUCUCCAUUUAUAGAGACGAUAUCUAUGCACGACGUCAUCAGCGCAGUUACAGCCUCUCCUCACCUGUCAACUCUGAAGUUCACCGCACAGUCCUCUAUGUGCACAGGACAGGAUGGGAUGCUCCACAAGUUCCCAAACUUCCGCGGUAGAAAGCAAUCCACCCGUCCAUAAACAAGACGAGAGCAACGGAGCCAGCACAACAGGAGCAGCCAAUGAGAAUGGGAAAGUAGCCGAGGACAGCGAAACCAUUCCGGACCAGACACCUGCUCAGGGCGGCGAUGCUAAACCAGCAGACGAACCCGCUGCAGCUGCAACGUCUGCAGACAACACCGCUGCAGCUCCACCUGCAGCUGAGGAAGCUCCGCCUGCUGCAGACAGUCCGCCUGCAGAGGCAGCAGCACCUGUGGAGGCUUCGGCAGCAGCACCUGCAGAGGCUUCGGCAGCAGCACCUGCAGAGGCUUCGGCGGCAGCUGAAAGCAGCGCAGAGCCUGCAGCUGAAGCUCCUGAGCAAGGUAGGGUGGAGACAUGAGGAGGACUGUGACAGGCCGGGGACAACAGUGAUUUUAUUCAGUACUUUUUACUCCACUACAUUUAUUUUUAAAACAUUAGUUAGAAGUUUAUUUGCAGUUACUUCUUUAAAUCAGCAAAUAAAAUAUGAUAUAUUAUUAUAGGUUAAGCUACACAGCGGUAUAUACAAUGACACGAAUAAGCUCCAACUUUACCAGCUGCAACUUUGAAAUUAUUCAAUGUAAUUCAGUGAUAUACAAGAUCCUCUCAUAAGCAGUACUUUUAUUUUGGGACUUAAAGUAGUUGUUGACGCUAAUACUUGUGCACCUUUACUUUUAAGUAGAUAAGUAUUUAGGAUUUUGAAUGCAGCACUGUCACCAUUUCAAAUCACCACUGUCACCAGUUUUAAUCAAGUAAAUGAUCUGACUAACCUGACAGGUGCACAUGAUAAAAGGAUGGAAAGUAAAGUAAAAUCAGCAAUCAGAAUCAGAAAUACUCUAUCUCAAUCACUG
rnacentral:lncRNA from 1 species